rnacentral:rRNA from 1 species
AUUGAACGCUGGCGGCAGGCUUAACACAUGCAAGUCGAGCGGUGUGAUGGUGCUUGCACUAUCACUUAGCGGCGGACGGGUGAGUAAUGCUUAGGAAUCUGCCUAUUAGUGGGGGACAACAUCUCGAAAGGGAUGCUAAUACCGCAUACGUCCUACGGGAGAAAGCAGGGGAUCACUUGUGACCUUGCGCUAAUAGAUGAGCCUAAGUUGGAUUAGCUAGUUGGUGGGGUAAAGGCCUACCAAGGCGACGAUCUGUAGCGGGUCUGAGAGGAUGAUCCGCCACGCUGGGACUGAGACACGGCCCAGACUCCUACGGGAGGCAGCAGUGGGGAAUAUUGGACAAUGGGGGGAACCAUGAUCCAGCCAUGCGGCGUGUGUGAAGAAGGCCUUAUGGUUGUAAAGCACUUUAAGCGAGGAGGAGGCUCUUUUGGUUAAUACCCAAGAUGAGUGGACGUUACUCGCAGAAGAAGCACCGGCUAACUCCGUGCCAGCCGCCGCCGUAA